rnacentral:rRNA from 1 species
CCCUUAGAUGUUCGGGGCCGCACGCGCGCUACACUGAAGGAAUCAGCGUGUGUUUACCCUGGUCCGGAAGGAUCGGGUAACCCGUUGAACCUCCUUCGUGCUAGGGAUUGGGGCUUGUAAUUCUUCCCCAUGAACGAGGAAUUCCCAGUAAGCGCGAGUCAUAAGCUCGCGUUGAUUACGUCCCUGCCCUUUGUACACACCGCCCGUCGCUACUACCGAUUGAAUGGUUUAGUGAGAUCUUCGGAUUGGCGCCACUGCGGCUCGGCAACGGGCUCGGUGGAUGCCGAAAAGUUGAUCAAACUUGAUCAUUUAGAGGAAGUAAAAGUCGUAACA